GUAGGACGCAAGCGUUAUCCGGAGUUACUGGGCGUAAAGCGCGGGCAGGCGGUCUGGAAAGUCUGAUGUGAAAGCGCCCGGCUCAACCGGGCGAGGCCAUUGGACACUGCCAGACUGGAGGGCAGUAGAGGCAGGCGGAAUUCCGGGUGGAGUGGUGAAAUGCGUAGAGAUCCGGAGGAACACCAGAGGCGAAGGCGGCCUGCUGGGCUGCACCUGACGCUGAGCCGCGAAAGCCAGGGGAGCGAACGGGAUUAGAAACCCCGGUAGUCCUGGCCGUAAACGAUGUGUGCUGGAUGGCGGUCCGACUGGGUCGCUGUCGAAGCCAACGCGAUAAGCACACCGCCUGGGGAGUACGGUCGCAAGGCUAAA
rnacentral:rRNA from 1 species